ensembl:lncRNA ASAH1-AS1 ASAH1 antisense RNA 1
GGCGCCUCGAUGGGGCGCCUCUAGCAGGCGGGUGCAGCCUGUCCCGCGUACCCAGGCGUCCUCGGUACCCACGAAACGGAUCCAAAGAGUCUCAACACUAAUGUAACAUCCCACCCUGACCCAUCUUUGCCCUCUGAGAAAAGCGGCCCGAAAUGAGUUGAGUUAUUCAUCCCCACCGCGGAGUCAGGGACAAGGAGCAGUUGAGUGGCCGAGGAGUGAGAGAGAAUCGAAUCCACUCGGGUCCUCCAAGCUGUUGGUUACCCACUUGGGCUUUCACAGCAAAGCUGCCAAAUCCCAGAAUUGAGGCCUCGGUGAAAAGCGCGCUGAGACUUGGGUAGGAGGCCCGGUGGGACCCGCGAGCUUUCUCUCCCAGCCCGAUGCAGCAGUUCAUUAAGCGGCUGUGUUUCCUCCUAACUGGCGAAGGACUCAGGUGGGCGGAGCAGAGCUCAGCUUGGGAGGAGGCGGACGCGAGUAGCUCGGCAGGGGGACUCGCUUGGCUUUCGUGCCAUCCGUGGACACAGUCGCGCGGGUAGGUGACCGGGUUGGAUUUCAAAGUCCAGCAGGAAAUCCUGCCCUCUGGGUUGCACUUCCUGGAUGAGCCUCUGACGUCUCAAGCAGCAUUGUUUUAAUGCUUUGAUGAAGCUCAGCACGCUGCCGAAAUCUCGGCAGUAUUUUUUCUUUUCUUUUUGCAUGUGAGAGAAAGGACAACAAAUUGCAGUUUUAUCCAUUUGUAUUAUUUCUUUAGAAAACUCAACACUCUUUUUGUUGGAGGUGGGGAAAUGAGAAGGUGAUGUUUUGUUUUGCUUUUUUUCCUAUUUUUUUUUUUUAAAGGAGGAGAAGAUGACAGUGUUCUCCCUAAGGAUGAAGUUUGACUUUUGAAACAUAUCACAUGCUUAAAGCACAUUUGAGCUCCUGCAUGAACAGUAAGCUAGCAGAUGGUAGAAAUAUUCUUUAUUAAUUCAAAAAAUAUUUACUGCGGACCUACAAUGUGCCAAGCAUGUCUCCUGACACUGGGGAUAAGCAGUGAACAACAACAAAAAGACAAACUUCUUCCACCCUGAGGCGUAUGUUCUCGGUCUUUGUGGGAAGAAACAAAUCACAAAAGCAAUUAAGAGAGCUCAAACAAUGGGUUACUCUCAUCUGGAUUAUUGUAGUCACCUUGUCACUGGUAUCUCUGCUUUCUCCUAACCCCCAUCUAAUCUCCAAAAAAUCAGAGCAUGUCACUCCUGGCCCCCAAAUCCCCCCAGUGACUCCGCCCUCCCCACCCUGCUCAGAAUUAAAGUCAAUGAUCUUUUUUUUUUUUUUUUUUGAGAUGGAUUCUUGUGCUGUCACCCAGGCUGGAGUGCAGUAAGUAGUGUGAUCUCAGCUCACUGCAGCCUCCGCCUCCCAGAUUCAAGCGAUUCUCCUGCCUUAGCCUCCUGAGUAGUUGGGAUUACAGGUGCGCACAAUGCCUGGCUAAUUUUUAUAUUGUUAAUAGAGUUGGGGUUUCACCAUGUUGGCCAAGCUGGUCUUGAACUCCUGACCUCAGGUGAUCCACCCACCUUGGCCUCGCAAAGUACUGGGAUUACAGGCAUGAGCCACCAUGCCCAGCCUAAAGUCAAUUAUCUCACCACAGACCACAAGGCUACUUUGAUCCAACCAGCCCAUCUUAUAUACUACCACUUUCCUGUUUUCUCACAGUGCUCCAAUCACACUGGCCUUCUUUCUGGACUUCAAACAUGCCAAAUAUACUCUCCUUGAGGGACAUAGCACUUACUGCUACCUUUGUUUGGAAUGUUCUUUCCCAGAUACCCAUGUGGCACACCCAAAUGCUUGAGUGGCCCCUUAUUAGUGAGGCCUUCCUAUAGCAUUAUAUAUAAGAUGGAUAUAAGGUAGGACUCAGAACAUACUCCCUAUCCUCCUUACUCUACUUCACCUGACUCCAAACACUGUCACCACCUGACGUAGUACAUAUUUUAUUUUUUAUUUGUUUAGCAUCUGUCUGCCUCUAACUAGAAUGCAAGCUCCAUGAGGACAGAGAUUUUUGUUUUGUUUACCGCCAUAUUGUCAGCAGCUAGAGCAAUGUCUGGCAUGUAGUAGCACUCAAUGAAUAUUAAUUGAAUAAAUGAGCUACCUAAAAAAUAACUGCAUUGAUAUCAUAACCCAAGUAGUGUCUGAAAUAAUGUAAUGAAUUACCAGAAUGCAAAUGAAUUAUUUUCCAGAUGUCUUUAAGUUGGGUGUUGGAAAGUCAAUAUGCAUUUUUCCUACAAAUAUAAAGUAAGUGCUGUUAUUAUCCCCAUCUUAUGGAUAAGACAUCUGAUAUUUAGCUUAUGCAACUAUGCCUGUUUUCUGAUUUUGAGGCAUGUACCUCACCACUUAUACUAAAUUUCCAGGUCAGAUCAUAAAACCUUACGUAAGCCAUAAAAUUCAGAUAUAAAGUAGUCUAAAAAAAGGAAGGACCAGAAUGGAAGAUACCUAUCUUACACACAAACAGCUGUAUCUAGAGUAUAGGCUUCUUAGCUUUCUAGAUGUUUCACCCAGUUAUAGCUGUUCUUUGAUAGUGAUACAGUGAUAGAGGCAGGAGGCAGAGAAAUUCUAGGCAGAUGGGAAGAUCCCUGGCAAAGCACCACCCUAAAGCUGAAAAGCUUGAAACCACUGCCUAAAGUGAGAACUUAUAUUCCCGUUUUCCUGCUUGAAUGUUGUCUUUUCCUAAACUACCCAUAGCCUGCCCCACCCUAUCUUGUGCCUAUAAAGACCCCAGACUCAGCCAGCAGAGGGGAGAAACAGCUGGACAUCAGAGAGAAGCAGCCGGACUUCAGAGGGACAGCUUGAUGACAUAACUUUGGAGAAGAAUGCAGCCAGAGAUGGGUGGACUCCAGGGAAAGAUUACCUGCCGCCCCACCCUCUUUUCAGCUCCCCUUCCUGCUGAGAGCCACUUUCAUCGGCAAUAAAAUACACUGCAU